AAACAGAGGACGUACGAUGCAAAGCGGAACACAAUGCUUCAACUCCAGAAAUUAUUCAAGUGACCCUGUGGAGAAUCGAAAGGUGGAAGGAGGUCCCGCCGCUUCCAAUUUAUUAAUUGCAGUGUGCAGAUAUUGUAAAAAAUAAAUAAAAAUAUUUUAAUGGUUC